rnacentral:lncRNA from 1 species
AUAUUACCUCACCCACCUUGUCUCUCUAAUAUCCUGGGACCGGCAUGACGACAACUGCACUGCAUAGAUAAGAGCCUGGCAUUGUUAUUUUUAUUUAUUGUUUGUAUUAUGGUAGCACCUAGGAACCCCAUGCCUGGACAAGGUCCCAUUGCGCUAGGCACUUCCAGUGAUGAUAAUUCCAUGUAUUUAUAAGGCACACACCACUCAGUACCUGCUGUUACUAAGGCGGUACGUGUUUUAUUCAUCUCUCUGCUGCUUCUCGACAAGAAUAGAACGGUCUCUUUUAAAGAUGCCCCUCCGGGCAGUGGCACAUGGACAGUGCCUGCUGGAUCACUUCGAGCUGCCGCUUUCUCUGCAGGACCCAGAAGCUGUGUGCAAACCAAGAGCUCGACAAGUACACCCAGGCAAACAGCUUUCCUGCAGUAUCAUGGAUUCAAGAUUGUAACAGGCCGACAAGCCAAGCUUCUGAAUCAUCCGAGAAAGUCCAUGAAAAGAAUUGCUGUGUCCCUUCUUAAAACAUGUUACUGUAAUUCCUGCCCUUUGAUGAUUCACUAGAUGUGCAGCAAGAGACAGAAAGCUCAGGGAAAUGUUGACCAACUGUGCAGGUUAUGUUGUUGUAGUGAGAGAUCAUUACUGUCUUCUCAGGUUUUGAAACUAUUCCUAUAUUCCAAGCCUCAUGCUCCUGAUAAGAUAUAGGACUUUAUGGUUAAUAAACUACAAGAUCUACACGGGUUUAAGAAAGCU